rnacentral:rRNA from 1 species
GUGAGGAAUAUUGGUCAAUGGGCGGGAGCCUGAACCAGCCAAGUCGCGUGAAGGAAGAAGGAUCUAUGGUUCGUAAACUUCUUUUGCAGGGGAAUAAAGUGCAGGACGUGUCCUGUUUUGUAUGUACCCUGAGAAUAAGGAUCGGCUAACUCCGUGCCAGCAGCCGCGGUAAUACGGAGGAUCCGAGCGUUAUCCGGAUUUAUUGGGUUUAAAGGGUGCGUAGGUGGUUUGAUAAGUCAGCGGUGAAAGUUUGCAGCUUAACUGUAAAAAUGCCGUUGAAACUGUAGGACUUGAGUGUAAAUGAGGUAGGCGGAAUGCGUGGUGUAGCGGUGAAAUGCAUAGAUAUCACGCAGAACUCCGAUUGCGAAGGCAGCUUACUAAGCUACAACUGACACUGAAGCACGAAAGCGUGGGGAUCAAACAGGAUUAGAUACCCUUGUAGUCC